rnacentral:misc_RNA from 1 species
CGCACCUUGCACCCUUUGGUAUUCCGAAGGGUAUGCCUGUUUGAGCGUCAUUAAAUUCUCAAUCCUACCAGUUUCGACUGAUAGGACUUGGAUGUGGAGGUCUUGCGGGCUUCAUCUUUGAAGUCGGCUCCUCUUAAAUGCAUUAGCGGAAUCUUUGCGUAUCGCUCUUGGUGUGAUAAUUAUCUGCGCCUUGUAGCUGAUCGUGAGUUUAGUGAUUCAGCUUCUAGUCGUCCGCAAGGACAAUACUCUUGACAUUUGACCUCAAAUCAGGUAGGACUACCCGCUGAACUUAA